GAAAAGUCAAAUACACACGCAGUUCCAUUUCAUCCGCCGGAGAGAUGCGGAACUUUCCAAACUUCCGGUUGGUAUUUAAAGGCCCAACGUGAAGCAAUAAGUUAUCAAUCACAUCCCAGAAGUCCCCGACCAACGAAACAAAAAUGAAAUUCUUCUCCGCCGUUUUGGUAUUUGGAUUCAUGUUGGCUCUGAACCAAGCCGCUCCCGCCGAGGAAAGGCAAUUCGAGAGCAUCGGUCAGACGUUCAGCACCAUCGCUGCCAUUCCAUCCAACUUGGCCUCGGCAAUUUUCACUCCGCCGGUGCUCCCGAGCUUUGCCGCUCUGCGCACCAUGAUGAGCUCAUUCUUCAACUUCCUGCCAAAUCUCAUUACCGAUUUGUAAACGCAUUCACGCUGAGCGUAAUCAUUACUUUUCACUUUAUAGCUGCUUCUCUUUUUUCAAUACAUUUUUUGGCGACAA